UGUCCGGUGGCCUAGUGGUUUGAGCGUCCGCCUCCGAUGCGGAAGGUCGUUAGUUCUAUCCCCGGUCGAGUCAU